CGUAAGGCUCCUAAAGGCUCCUGGAAGAUGACCAGGUAAUAGGUCGGGUGUGUAAGCGCGGUGACGCGUUGAGCUUACCGAUACUAAUCAGCCGUGAGGCUUGACCAU
rnacentral:ncRNA from 1 species